rnacentral:rRNA from 1 species
GACGAACGCUGGCGGCGUGCUUAAUACAUGCAAGUCAACUGAACUUGAGGUAGUAAUAUUUCAAGGGAGGUGGCGCACGGGUGAGUAACACGUAGGUAAUCUGCCUUUAGGUCUGACAUAAUCCCGCGAAAGCGGGACUAAAAUCAGAUGAUGCAGCGGCUCGACAUCGAGACAGUUGUUAAACCUUCGGGGCCGUAAAGAUGAGCCUGCGUCUGAUUAGGUAGUUGGCGGAGUAAAAGACCCACCAAGCCUGCGAUCAGUAGCUGGUCUGAGAGGAUGAUCAGCCACACUGGAACUGAGACACGGUCCAGACUCCUACGGGAGGCAGCAGUAAGGAAUAUUGCUCAAUGGCCGAAAGGCUGAAGCAGCAACGCCGCGUGGAGGAUGAAAUACUUUUGUAUGUAAACUCCUGUAAGAGGGGAAAAAUAUACAGCUAUGCUGUGUUGAUUGUACCCUCAGAGUAAGCACCGGCUAACUACGUGAC